ensembl:lncRNA
UGAAGGGCAGCCAAGUCAGAGAGGAUGAAGAGCGCCACCUAGUGAUCGUCACUCCGUGCCCUCCGAUGGCCCUGCCAGCAGCAACAACAACAGGAAUCAGUGAAAAUGUGUUCCUGCACAGAGCUGAUGAUGAUUCCAGUCUUAUGAGCCUCAUAUUCUGGGCCGAGGGGAAGAACUUAUCCGGCAUGCUCCGGAUGGAUGAGGUGGAGGGAAGUGGGAUGAGUCAACUGUGCUGGUGGUGGAUAACGAGGAUUAAAUGACAGGAGGGUGGUGGGGGGAUUUGUCUGACGCGCACGGCGUGACGUGCUAG